GAAAAUAGUUGAGUUUAGCUGAGUUAUGGUGUAAUACGGCUUACCACACAGCCAUCCAGAUGACUUCCUUUAAAGCCUUGUAUGGCAAUGAUCCUCCCAUGUAGUCCUUUAAAUUAGUAGCACAAUCUCGGGUGAACUCAGUUGAUGAAUGGUUGUGUGAAAAACAGAUCAUCAGCAAGGUGUUAUAGGAAAAAAUGAAGAAAGCUCAAGAAAUAAUGAAACUUUAUGCUGUUUCUAAGAGAACACAAAGAGUAUUUGAAGAAGGAGCUUGGGUUUACCUCAAACUUCAGUUGUAUCGCCAAUCGUUCAUAACCAUCAUGAGGAAUUUGAUAUUAGCAGCAAUGUACUACGGGCCUUAUCAGGUUGUUCGCAAAAUUGGUCAAGUUGCUUGCAAGUUGAAAUUGCCAAUUGGUUCAAGAAUUCACCCAGUGUUUCACGUAUCACAAUUGAAGAAGAAGAUAGGGAACCAGGUGGUGGCCACAAUAGAACCUCCAAUUUAUAACAAGGAGGGUCAGAUUCUAGUGAAACCUG
rnacentral:lncRNA from 1 species